GCAAAAUGACCCAUCAACUGUUUGGUUGUGUUACAAAACAACAGUUGAUUUCAAGGACACCAAACCUGACUGGAUAACGUCAGGUUUAGUCAGUGUAUUUAGGUCGGAUGUUUCGCCAAAAAUUUUAUGACAUGAAAUUCAAUGACAUAAGCGUUCACAAAAUGUUUCGUGUUAGGCAUAAAAAAAUGGAUUUAAACGAACAAAAGACCAUUCAGUGUGUAACAAUGAGCCUUGGUUUGCAAACAGAGAAGAUUUUCCACAGAUGUAGCUGAAGGGGACCCUGAUGCAGACUGCGGGAACCUGGCCGUGCAGAGCCUGGUGRUGCUGGAGAAUAGUCUGAAGACUGGAUUGGACCCUGCUCCACUGGGCUUGCUGUCAUGAUCAUGACAUGAUGAUACACAGUGAACCUUGAAGUUCUAUCCCUCUGGUGUGUAAAGGGCAACAGCCAGUGUUUUGGUUGUCACUGCCGGUGUACUAGUAGUGACUGCCUUGGGACACUGGUUGUGAGAGGAUUACAAAUGAUGCCUGUCACUAGGAACUGGCUGGCAGAGGGCCCGAGGAUGUUACGGAUCCUGGAUCCUGAACACUGAAGGACGUCCUUUCAGUUAGAGCUGCAGGUGCUGCUGGCCCACCAUAUCCUGGAACGAAUGAAUGCAUGCCAAGCCAAAGGAAAAAGAGAAAUGAACUAAAUGUARUAAAAUGUUUGUGUGGAGGAUGACCUUUUUCUCUCUUUCUCUCUGCGCAGGAAUAUCCCUCUGUAUUGUAGGCGUUUGUUUACACAGGAAGUCUUGUCAAUGAUGUUUCCUUACACACACAAAUACACACGUGUACAAUAUGCAUCCAUAUCCCGGAGAAAGACCAUGCAUGAUAUGGACAUAUUUGUGUACCUCAACAAGAUAGUUUUUGGAAGAUUAAUUUCUGCUGCCUGAAAAGCAAGUAUCUUCCAUACAUGUAUUAAAAAAAGAGAAAGCACUA